UACGAAGGUUGCAAGCGUUGCUCGGAUUCAUUGGGCGUAAAGGGUAGGUAGGUGGUCUUAUUUGUCUGGGGUGAAAUCCCUGAGCUUAACUCAGGAAGUGCCUCGGAAACGGUAAGACUAGAGUACUGGAGAGGGUCGUGGAAUUCCCGGUGUAGCGGUGAAAUGCGUAGAGAUCGGGAGGAACACACGAAGCGAAAGCGGCGACCUGGACAGUUACUGACACUCAACUACGAAAGCGUGGGGAGCAAACAGG
rnacentral:rRNA from 1 species